CCUCCACACAAUGUAACUGUGUGAUACUUGGGCUUUUUUACAGUUGCCAGCUCCAGCUGCCUGGUGGAGGAGAUGUUCUACUAUAAUGGUUAAUGCAAUGUGUAAAUGAUGCAGGAAAAGAAUCAAGUGACAAAAGUGUAUAUACUGUAUGUGAAUGAUCCGAUAGAAGCCCAAGCCAAAAAGUUAUAUAAAUAAAAAUCUGUUGUGCAUGGUGUGUGUUAUGUAUAGAAUAACCAUUAUCACACCAUGCCUAAAGCUAAG